UUUGAAAGCCGAAAAAUUAUAUAUCCAAUAACAAAACAUGCGCUAUAACUGAGAAUAAUUUCUGAAUCUACUACAAUUUUUGAACAUAGAAGAAAUGAAAGGUUCUAUGAACCAGAGGUUAUCCUGGAUGCUGUGCAUGCACCUGGCUGUUAGAUUAGUGACGUAGAAUAAAUAAUGUAUUGGAUGCAUUGUAAUUUUAACACAUCAAACAAUAUGCUCAGAUUUGCAAAGAU